UUCCCCGACAGGGAGAAUAGAGAUUUUACAAUAUCCUUCCCUCAGGAGUGGGGAGGGAAUAGGGAUUUUGCAGUAUCCUUUCCCUUGGGGGGGGGAGGGAAUGGAGAUUUUGCAGUAUCCUUCCCCUGCCAUGUCUACCAAGCCACAGCACACCUACCAAGCUACGCCCACAGAACCAGUAGUAAAAACAUUUGGAUUUCACCACUGCCUCCAAAGUCCCUUCCAACUCUCUUAUUCUAUAAUUCUAAUUGUUGUGUCUGCGCCCCCCGAGCCGGGCCCCCUGACAGAAAGUGACUCGGAAAGGGCCAUCAGGACUUACCUCUGGAGCACCAGCUUCCCUGGCUCAGCUCCAGGAGCCAGAGGCAGGCCAGGUGGAGGAGAUAACGAGGCCUCCAUCCCCUGACUCUUUUCCCCCCCUGGCCACGCCUCCAGACCCGGCUGAUGGCAAUCAGGCCUGGCUGGACGCUAGGUUUCGUAGGCAGGAGAGGCGGGACCAACAGAAGCAGGGGUGGGGCAGGCCUAGGAAGUGCUGAGUCACAGAGCCACACCCCACAGGAUAUAAAAGCAGCAAGGGCUGCUAUACCACUUCGUGGCAAGCAGAUCAACUGCUUAGAGGGAGAGAACUAGAGCUGAAGUACUGUUUGUUCCUGGUUUCCUGGUUGACUCAUCGGCAUCAAGAGAGAUAACAGAGACACUUGGCAGACGCUCGCUAGUUUGCUGCCAGAGCUGAUAGUUGCCGGCUAAUUAAGUCAUUGCUUAUGUCUCCCGGACUGAGGCGAGGGGGACAGAACACUAAUUCUAAAAAAAGCGAGAGGGUUAGGACUAAACAAGAGAGAAACCUAUAUUGAUAGUGGAUUGAAUUUGAAUGCAAAAAUGUGAUUUCUCACCAUGGAUUUUUUUUUCCUUUUUGUUGCCACAUUAAAAAAAAUCAGCAGCAAGUACGGUAGGGAAUUCAGAGUGUAACACAGCUCUGGAUCUGCAGAUCUUUCACCCUUUAUUUACAUUUCCCUCCUUUUUUCUCUCCAUAGGCUUAUUUACUCUUCAUCUGAGUCUAUGAAUCUGGGGAGAACCUACUCAAGUGAUAACGGUUGAUACUUUUAACCACUGCUACAAACAUAUGCUGAAAGUUGUUUUCAGGCUGUACCGCCCACAGAAUCUUCAAAACACAAAGUUCCAGUUGUAUGCAAAAUAUAUUUCCAAUAAUGCUUCUAAUGGAAAGAAGAUCCACUUAAGGACAAAUCUCAAAUCCGCAAUGCAUUCUAAGUGCUUUGAAAUGUCAUAAAUGAUUAAAUAUACAAGAUCUAACAAAGUGUUGAGCUAGCAAAAUGGAAACCAGGUGGCUUCUAAGCAGGUUUGGUCAGGUUAUAGGGCUUUGCCUCCCCACCAGCUUGAGCAUUCACAAAGAAACAUUUCAUCAGAACUUUACCCUUGAGCAUAAUAAUUCCAUUUUAGAGAAAAUGGAUAAUCCUAAACCUUUAAAGUCUGUCUUAUAUACAUAGAUUUUAUGUUGAUUGCCCUGUAUAUUACAAGCUGUCUAUAUCGGCGUAAACCUGUAUUUAAAAAGAGAUUGAGGGAGGGAAAGGAUGUGGAAGAGUUUUCCUGAAGUCUGUGGAAAAGGAUAGGCCUUCAUUUUCCUUUUCCUUUUCCUUUUUAGGCAAACUAAUUACAUGUAAGUGAAUCUGUAUAACAAUAUUACAGUUUAUUAAGACCGAUUGGACAAAUUAUGUUGCCAUAGAUACCCUCAGAGUGUUGAAGAAACUUCUGCUUCUUCUGUUUUUCAGGGUUUAAUAAUUGAUUCAUAAAAUUAUUCCAGUAUGAACCAUGGCUAAGUGGUAAUGUGUUUUUAUUUCCAGAAUUAUAAUGCAAAGGAUUUUUGAAUAUAAACAAUUAAGUUCCCAUAAAUCUUUUUUUAAAAGAAUAUUUCAAACACUUAAAAGCAAAGCCUAUUUAAUAGCAGCAACUGGAUAGCAUAUAUCCCAAAAAUACUGUUAUAACAAAAUACAGUAUAUACCCUUUUUAAUGAAUCGUUUAAAGUUUUGUUUUAAAAAAUAAAUAUCCCAAGAAUACUUGCAGCACAAACUGAAUAAACAAAAUAGAAUUAGAAAGGUAUGCAUUUUUUCAUAAGUUGGGUGAUAACUUAUGUGCCUUUCACUUAAAGAACUGCUGGUCUAACUGGAAGAAUUUUGAUGGAGUUUGAAAGGUGACCUGCUAUUUCAAUGCAUUUUCUUUAAUCAAUCCAGUUUUAAUGCCUUCUGUGGGAUUUAAAAUUGAAACUGGCUCCCAUUAUUUUUCACAGCAAUCUUGUGCAAGUUUAUUUACUGUCUAGAUAUAUCUAAAGGUUCUUCUACUUCAUCUUUGUCAACUUUGAUCUAUCUCAUGGCCAUACUGAAUGCAACUUUAAAUGUAUUUUUACAUUUAAUGGACAGAUAUUUUUCAAAAGCACAAAUACGAUGAACUGUGGAUGGAAACAAUUAGGGAGGUGGCAACAUUCAGAGAAAAAUUGUAUUUUUCAUCUUGCAGCAUUUCUGAAUAAAAUUCUAGCUUUGGAGAUAAUAUUGUCUCCAAACCAAGAAAUUACAAAGAACGAAUGAUGAUGCUUUUUAUUAUUAACUCCUCUCCAAACCAGGGGUGAAAUUCAGCAGACUCUGACAGGUUCGGAAGAACUGGUAGCAGAAAUUUUGAGUAGUUUGGAGAACUGGCAAAUACCACCUCUGGCUGGCCCCAGAGUGGGGUGGGAAUGGAGAUUUUGCAAUAUCCUUAUCCCAGGAGUGGGGAGGGAAUGGGGAUUUUGCAACAUCCUUCCCCUGGAGUGGGGUAGGAAUGGAAAUUUUGCAGUAUCCUUCCCCUGCCACUCCAAGCCACACUCACCAAGCCACACCACGCCCACCAAGCCAUGCCCACAGAACCGGUAAUAAAAAAAAUUUGAAUUCCACCAAAUAAUUAUUGCUCCAAAUAAUUUAUGCUGUUUGCAUUUUAAAAUUCUACAGCUCAAAUUAAAUUUUAUUUCUGGUUUUAGAGAAGCAGAAAAAUGUGAUAUCAAUCUCUCAUCUCAGCUUUAAUUCUCAGAUUAGUUUAGUCAUGGACCUAUUAUGAAACCAGAUCACAGGAUUGCUUGGAACUAUAAUCAAGGCAAACAUGUGGUGUUAAAAUACCACAAAACUAUGUUUAACUCUCCUUCACCAAACACUGUGGCAUUUCACUUAAAAUUCAUGAAUGUCUCUUCCCUGUUAUUUUCAAUUUUCAGAAAACAAUCUAAUACAUAAAAUUGUCCAAAAGUCUGUAUUCCAUUCCCUUUCAGGAUAUUUUUGGAAUUUCAUAACCUUCAAUUAAAUCUGAAAAUUCAACAUGAAAGAGGCUGAAGCAUCAGGGACCAAGUUCCAAACUCAAAUUAAACAGCUAGACAAUUGGACCAAUUAACUGCUAAGGAUUCCUUGUAAGAAAUUGUGUGAUUUUUUUUCAAGAUAUCUUAAGAUUUAACCCUGUUAUCCUCUUUCAUCAUCCCACUGUUACCCAAUUCAUUGUGCAAAUGCUAAUGCAAUCUCAAUACAACUAUGAGGUUAAUGUUAAUUUAAAAGAGGAACAAGGUAAAUGCUGAACACAUAGACGCAUACAAACUGUACAGAAUACGCACUAAAUCCCACAUUUAAUUAACCUCAGUUUAGAUGCCAGGGCUACAUUUUUCAUUCUGACAUCACCUGAAAAUAAUGAAUGCUAUUAAUGAUCUUGGGCAAAAGAUCCAUUCUUCCUGAAGCUAUCUGGAGAGCAUUCAUUUCUGCUUAUGUGUAGUAUUUUCAUCAGUUCACUUCUGCGUCUGCCCCGGAUAUUUAGGAAAACCUUCCUGCAUUUGAAUGCAGAGGAGACAGAAAAGGAACCUGCAGUUGAACUGCCCCUUUGAGUCUCCUUGGGUGCUGUCUCUGCCUCCUGUAUGCUAUAUUCUAUUUUUAUAACUUGUAACCUGGUGUGUCACUCUGGGAGCCCUAUGGUCCUAUACUGUGAUCCUUGACGCACUGUUUUGAAGGACGGGGAGAAGGAAAAGACCAAAAGAACACAUUUUUUCUCUCUCUCUCACCCUCUCUCUCCUUAUACUUUUCCUUCUUUCUUCACCCCAGUCUGAAUUGAUAUUUGGUUUUAACCAAUACCUUUAACAUCAAUAUUCCCUUAAAUAAUAGUUUUAAUGUAUCGUUAUUGAUACAGGAACAGCUAAAUUAAAAACAAUGCAUUAAACUUUAUUUGGAUUCUUUUUGUAGAAGAAACAGGUGAAUUGUGUACAAAAGAAAAAGUAUUAAUAAUUGAUGAUGCCAUUUAUUUUCUAUUUCAGCCAUUUAUUGGCUGUACAAAGCUGAUACUAAAUUAUUGUGAAGUAAUGUACCUCAAAUACAGUUUCAAAACUAACAAGUUGACUGGAAAUCAUCCUUUUUUAUUACCUUCGACAUACUUUAUUCAAAAGUGAAAUAUGAAAUAAGAAGCAUAGCAGACAAUGGACUGGAUCCAACUGAGGUAGAUCAAAGACCUUCUGAUUCAGCAAUGCAUUACUUGAGAAAUAGAGGAUAGCAAUUUUGUUGAUUUCUCCCAACUCAUACUUUACUACAUUACAUACGUUCAGUCUACUCUAGAAUAGAAGGAGUGAUGAUGAUAGUUGUGGGUGAAUGAAUAAAUUGGUUUAAACUCUACUUAAUUUUCAAUGAAAUCUGUCUCAGUGGACAUUCCUCAUGUGGGCCAAAACAUACACUCAGCCAUAACCUGUAACACCUGCUCAGGUCAGAACAUUUGACCAAUUGUUCCAAUAAUUCCUUAGCAUUUUUGUAAUAUUAUUAGUGUGGAAUUUAUCAUUGCAGGUUACAGAUUAAACAUCAGACAACGCAACACAACAUAAAACUUAACACUUAGCAAUUCAAAUAGCCCACCAUACAAAGAUCUUAAUAUUCAUUCUGGAUAUACUCCAUGA